ensembl:miRNA
GAGGUGGGAGGAUUGCUUGAGCGCAGGAGUUUGAGGCUGCAGUGAGCUGUGAUCAUACUGCUGCACUCCAGCCUGAGUGACAGAGCAAGACCCUGUCUCA